AUACUGCAACUUGGCACCUGAAACCACCGAUGUGGGAUUCACAUCAGCCCAUGGCCUAGGUAAAUGACUUCUAUUGCACUUUGGAGGGGCGCUGCCCUAAGGUCUCCCCCAAUGUGGGAGCCUAUGUCAUAAUUUGUGAAAGUGGGGGCCUGCGUCUGCAUGGCCCCUAU